UGAGGGGCCUCGGGAGUGGACCUGGGGAAACGGCCGGCCUUGAAAACGGACUCAGCUGCGCGUUACUGAGGCCGUUCCUACUGGGAAGAGACUUAAUGGCGCUUGUUUAAGAAUUACAAGCUCCAGAAAUGACUCGAGUGACCUCACAGCGUGCAGGAAGGGGUGGGAGAGCCAGGGAGAGCCCCUCACCCCACCCCACCCCCAUCCCCGCCCCCGCGGCGCUCUGAAAAGCCUUGAAAGCCCAGCGCAGCACCGAAAUGUUGGAGGCCCAAGGCAGGUGGCCUGCCUCGAGUCACUCCCGACCCAGAUGUCCCCCACCACCAUGACCAGCUUUUGUUAUGACUGUGCCAGUGACUUGCAGAUAGCCUAGCUUCACAGUUCUUCACCUGGUCUGGGGCAGUGAACAGGUCAAGAUGGAGAGCGCCAGGAGGGACUUUUCUUUGUCUGUAUUCUUCCAUACACUUGUUCAUUAAAUAAACGCAUAUGUUUCCUGUGUCAUUUUGUAUAUGGAAACAGGGGCCGUGGGAACUGGAAGUACAUAGCCAGUGCGCCAGCAGCACUUGACUCUAGGUGGUGGGGAUAAGUGCUCUUGUAACGACGGGACUAGCCCAAAUGGGCCUACUCUGUUUAUAACAAAAUGUUGAGCUACCCUACAGGUAUAGCAGAGCCAAAAACUCUAAGUCACAAAGCCCUAGGCAUGCACAAUAGAAAAAGAUUUGACCUAUCAACACCCGGCACCAACUAUUCCUCUCCUUGGAACGAAGAGACUGGGACAUGACUGGAACCCGAAAAUGCGAACUCUCAGAAGGGAAGGGUCUCUGGGCCCAGAAGAUAGGGACUAAAAUCCACCUCAACAUACCUUACCAUAAAUGGCCAAAUUUGAAGGCCUUCAAACAGACCCUGCCAAGCCAACAUUCCUACGUCCUUUCCUUUGCCCUCUGCUUCAUUAAAACUUACCCCAGACCCCAAAUCAGGGAGAAAGAUUUGAACCUGCCUCCUUUCUCCUUGCCACCUGGUCUUGCAAUAAAGCCUUUCUUUUCUCAAAAGCCAGUACCAUGGUAUUGGCUUCUGUGUACAUCGGGCAGUGAGCCUGAGGCAGGAAAAUAGGGUUGGGAGGCCGGGAACAUAAGACCAAUUCACACUUCAGCUAUAACAGGAAAAUAUCCUCUCCAAAGGGCAUACGCUGUAAAAGACUUAACUUUAUCCUAUCCAUUUACAUAGGGUGUAAGCGAAGUAACCAAUGGAAUCCUCUAGGGGGUAUUUAAACUCCCCAAAAUUCUGUAAGGGGGCCUUUGAGCCCCUAUGCUCGGGCUGCUCCCACACUGUGGAGUGUAUUUUCAUUUUCAAUCAAUCUCUUUCAUUCCUUCCUUGCUUUGUGUGUUUUGUUCAAUUCUUUGUUCAAGUCUCUGAGAACCUGGACACCCUCCACCGGUGACAAGCCCAUUUGCUUAAUAAGGCUAUUCAUAUUUUCUUCUCGGUAUUUUUUUGUUACUUAUUUUCUGAAAGUGCCAGGAAGAGGAGGGCAGGCAGGGGCCACCCCAAAAUAGGCCACCCGUGGUAUCAUGGUGACUUCUAACCCCAGUCCCCAAGAAUUUGAAAGUGGUGACGACCGUUACGAAGUGUUGGAUUUAACUAAGUAUGCAAGAAGACAUCGCGGUAGAACUGAGUAUUUGACCCCAGUUCGGGCCCUAUGGUGUUACAGAAAAAUACUCAGUAGCGCCGGGCGAGGUGGCUCACAUCUGUAAUCCUAGCACUUUGGGAGGCCGAGGUGGGUGGAUCACGAAGUUAGGUGUUCGAUACCAGCCUGACCAACAUGGUGAAAGCCCAUCUCUACUAAAAAUACAAAAAUUAGCUGGGUGUGUUGCUGCGAGCCUGUAAUCCCAGCUACACUCAGGAGGCUGAGGCAGGAUAAUCGCUUGAACCUGGGAGGCAGAGGUUGCAGUGAGCCCAGAUCAUGCCACUGCACUCCAGCCUGGGCAACAGAAGGAGACUCCAUCUCAAAAAAAAGAAAGAAAAAUAUUCAGUAGCUACCCAGAUUGGAAUGUGUGGUGUGAAUGGCUGGUAUGCAGAAUUUUUGCUCCCAAAAAAGUUGGGAAGCUUGAAGCAACUGCAGUGACUUCCAGACUGACUGGAAGAAAAUUAAAAAAGACAUAAACAAAGCAAAAAGACCAAGAAAUGAGCAAAUAAAGCAGCACCUGAAAUCAACCAUACAACUGAAGGAGCAACAGAGUGGAUUAAACAGAACAUUGUGGUCUCCAGUGGAUUUGUGGGAGGCUUUUUGCUAAGACUUGCAUCUUAAGAACAUGAAUGGUCUACCAUAGCAGACUCAGCUAUGAGAAGUGGCGGCAACACAGCGUCCUCUCUCAAUAGUACAUGUUGCUGGGUCUCAGAAAAACAACUAGCUGGACACUACUGAACUCACAACUUAGGAUUUUGCCAUCUGGAGCCUGGCAAACUGGUAUCUGCUGUAAAACAACUUACAUGGUCGGUGAACAGUAGUAUUUCUGAACAAAACGUGGCUUUUAUCAUUUGAAAAGUGCUUCUCUUUAGAAAUUAGCCUAUAAAGUAUCAUCAUUGGUUGUAGAUAUGGAAAGAUAAGAAAUCUGCUGCAUUUAUUGCCCUGUGAAAUAUAAAUCCCCUUUUUACUUAGAUAAGAUUUUAUGGCCGGGCACGGUACUUUGGGAGGACAAGGUGGGUGGAUCACCUGAGGUCAGGAGUUCAAGACCAGCCUGGCCAAAAUGGUGAAACCCUGUCUCUACUAAAACUACAAAAAAACAACCCGAGCGUGGUGGAGGGUGCCUGUAAUCCCAGCUACUCGGGAGGCUGAGGCACAAGAAUCUCUUGAACCCAGAAGGCGAAGGUUGCAAUGAGCCGAGGUUGUGCCACUGUACUCCAGCAUGGGUGAAAGAGUGAGACCCUGUCUCAAAUAAAUAAAUAAGAUGUUCUUCAUCAUGCUUUACAGUAUAAUGCCAGUAAUUUUAAAAUUUGUUUUAUAGGCAGGCGUGGGGGCUCACGCCUGUAAUCCCAGCACUUUGGGAGGCCAAGGAGGGUGAAUCACCUGAGGUUGGGAGUUCGAGACCAGCCUAACCAACUUGGAGAACCCCUGUCUCUACUAAAAAUACAGAAUUAGCCGGGCGUGGUGGCACAUACCUGUGAUCCCAGAUACUCAGAAGGCUGAGGCAGGAGAAUCACUUGAACCUGGGAGGCGAAGGUUGUGGUGAGCCAAGAUCGAGCCAUUGCUCUCCAGCCUGGGCAACAAGAGUGAAACUGUCUCAAAAAAAAAAAAAAAGAAAAGAAAAUAGAAAAUUUGUAUUAUAGCUUGAAUAUAAGGGCCGACUUCUUUAAAAAAAGAUAUGUUUGCAGUAAAUUGAAGAACUCUAAUGCCCCUUUGUGGAAGAAAGCUUUAGAAAUGAUAUAAUUCUUAAAGAUAUUAAGUAGACAAAAAUGAUUUCAAAUAAUGAUGAUGCUCAAAGAAUCUCUGAAGUGAGUAUUAAAACUUCUGACUGCUUCUAACUAUUGGUCCUACCCAGCCACUGAUUAAGUCCAAUCGAGUAGUCUAAACUGCUCACUUGAUGUGUCUUUUCCUCCAUUUGCUUUUCCAUGAAAUGGGAAUUUAAAACAAAAAUGAAAAGCCCAUGACUGUUGUGAGGACAAAUAAAAUGAUAUAUGCCGAAAGGGUGCGGGGCCACCUUUGAGGACUUGUGUUAUAUAAACGUCAAUAACAGAUACAGAGGAGGCGGAGCGGUUUCGGGUUGUAAAUCCAGCUGAUUAGCUGGGAACGUUACAUAAUAGAAUCUGCCAAUGGAGAACAAAGAGGAGCUCUCAGGGUCACCCGCCCAUCUUCCAAGCCUGGUUUACAAUUACAAAGGUGUAGCCAAGGAGGAGCCCUGUUGUAGGGUUCUCUAACUCAGACCACUCAAAACGACCUGACCUCGGUUAGCUGAGCAGAAGGUACAAGACCAAGAUUUAAAAAAUAAGUAAAUACAUGUAUAAGGAGAUACAGACUGCUUUCCAAAAACAUCCAAUUUAGGCCAAUGAGUGAAGAAGAACUAAGAAUAACUGGAACAUUUGCUUUUUACUUAUUUUACAAAUAAUUAAAAUUACUUAUAAUGCUUAUAUUA